rnacentral:rRNA from 1 species
GUGGGGAAUCUUGCGCAAUGGGCGAAAGCCUGACGCAGCCAUGCCGCGUGAAUGAUGAAGGUCUUAGGAUUGUAAAAUUCUUUCACCGGGGACGAUAAUGACGGUACCCGGAGAAGAAGCUCCGGCUAACUUCGUGCCAGCAGCCGCGGUAAUACGAAGGGGGCUAGCGUUGCUCGGAAUUACUGGGCGUAAAGGGCGCGUAGGCGGACAGCUUAGUCAGAGGUGAAAGCCCAGGGCUCAACCUUGGAAUUGCCUUUGAUACUGGCUGUCUUGAGUACGGGGGAGGUGAGUGGAACUCCGAGUGUAGAGGUGAAAUUCGUAGAUAUUCGGAAGAACACCAGUGGCGAAGGCGACUCACUGGCCCGUUACUGACGCUGAGGCGCGAAAGCGUGGGGAGCAAACAGGAUUAGAAACCCCUGUAGUCC